UGUGUUCUAGAACAAAGUGCAGAGAUAUGAAUUGUAAACACUGUUUGGUUGGAUAAGUAAACGAAGUGCUGACAUGUUCAGUAGGAGAUUUGGAGUGGGAUAGGGAAUCAAGUUAUUUCCAACAGAGGAGCAGAAUAAAGUGAAAAAUAUAGCGAUUCUCAUUUAGAUGGGGUCUGUCAUGGGGAUUAAUUAUUUGAAGUUUUUAACUCUUUUCUAAAGGUUGACAGGGUAGGUGCUUGUCUAAUCUCCCCGGGGAGAGAAUUCCAGAGCCAGGGGGCCACCACAGAAUAGGCCCUCUCAUUGAGUUUGACUCUGGGAAUUAUACGAUAUGAGAAUCCAGUCUUCUGUCAUUUUACAGGAAUAAUUGGAUUAUGGCAUCCAUGUAAACAGGGAAGUUUUAUUUCUUCUAAACUGUAUAAGGAUAUGAUGUGCCCUUGUCAAUUGUAUUUGAGCAUGCCAUGAUUUGUGACUUGAGAAAAGAGACAAUCUUUUUGCAAUUUCUACUCCAGCCCUGAUCAAUGUUUAAUCAUGUUCACUUUUUGGCAGGCUGCAGACACAGGAUGGCUGGCAGAGCCAUUUUUAGCAAAGGACAGACACAAAGAAAGAUGCCUUGGGGUAGGGCACAGUUGUUGGCUACAUGGGUAUGAUUAUAAAAAUAAUUAGACAUGAAUAAAUAAGGUCUUGAUGAGCAAUGCAUAAUACUUUACAUGUAUGUUUGUAUAUGACCGUUAAUGUCCUCCAUGGUUGAAAAACAACUUUUGGUUGAAUUGGCUAAAGAUGGACAAGUAAAUAAUGCCCUACAGUAUCAGGAGAUUUAUUUGCUUAAAAGUAACACAUAAGUACCAGUCAUUUCUUUAAUAUUUGAGGAGUGACCUAAAACUGCUUUUAAGGGAGGAGGAUACCCAGGGUGCCAAAACACUCAUCUUCAUCAUCAUCAACAACGGUAAAAUUGCAGGAAAUGUAAAUCUAUUUAAAGCAGAGGUGGCAGUCAUGGAGCAUUGUGAUGUAUCAUCUUGACAUAAAGUGAAUGAGUUAGAUUAGUGACUGACACCAGCAAUGUCAGAAUUUACAUUGCCACACACAUAAACUCUAUGGAAAUCUACUAUUAGCUGCGCUCCCAGUAAGCAGUGAUGAGUAAUGAGGGUCACAGUGGUCAAUAGGAGCAAGAACGGAUUUGCUUUCCAACUGGCAGACAUGAGUAAGGAAUGUGCAGGAAGAAGAAACGGGAAGCUUCCUUCUGGAGCCAAGUCACAGAUGUCAGCUUUUCCUCAGUUUCCUCCCUUAGAAGAAACAUAAACUGAAAUCAGUUCUUAACGUGGCAGAGCCUUGCUUUGAACAAAAUGGAAGGGCAUAACAAACCUUUUCAAAGGAGGAACUAAACAGCAGAAGGUGUAGAAAGUCUUCUCCAUGCUGAGAAAGACACUGCUUCCUACAGAGAAGAUGGAAAUAACUUGAGUUCUUGGGUUUAUACUAUUUGCUGUGACUGCAACUAUUGAACAAGGCAAUACCCAUUUCCACUUUU